GACGAACGCUGGCGGCGUGCCUAAUACAUGCAAGUAGAACGCACAGUUUAUACCGUAGCAUGCUACACCAUAGACUGUGAGUUGCGAACGGGUGAGUAACGCGUAGGUAACCUGCCUGGUAGCGGGGGAUAACUAUUGGAAACGAUAGCUAAUACCGCAUAAUAUUAAUUAUUGCAUGAUAAUUAAUUGAAAGGUGCAAUUGCACCACUACCAGAUGGACCUGCGUUGUAUUAGCUAGUAGGUGAGGUAACGGCUCACCUAGGCGACGAUACAUAGCCGACCUGAGAGGGUGAUCGGCCACACUGGGACUGAGACACGGCCCAGACUCCUACGGGAGGCAGCAGUAGGGAAUCUUCGGCAAUGGACGAAAGUCUGACCGAGCAACGCCGCGUGAGUGAAGAAGGUUUUCGGAUCGUAAAGCUCUGUUGUAAGAGAAGAACGGGUGUGAGAGUGGAAAGUUCACACUGUGACGGUAUCUUACCAGAAAGGGACGGCUAACUACGUG
rnacentral:rRNA from 1 species